AUUGAACGCUGGCGGCAGGCCUAACACAUGCAAGUCGAACGAGUGGCGGACGGGUGAGUAAUGUCUGGGAAACUGCCUGAUGGAGGGGGAUAACUACUGGAAACGGUAGCUAAUACCGCAUACCAUCGGAUGUGCCCAGAUGGGAUUAGCUAGUAGGUGGGGUAACGGCUCACCUAGGCGACGAUCCCUAGCUGGUCUGAGAGGAUGACCAGACACACUGGAACUGAGACACGGUCCAGACUCCUACGGGAGGCAGCAGUGGGGAAUAUUGCACAAUGGGCGCAAGCCUGAUGCAGCCAUGCCGCGUGUAUGAAGAAGGCCUUCGGGUUGUAAAGUACUUUUGGCAGGGAAGCGGUAUCUGCAGAAUAAGCACCGGCUAACUACGUGCCAGCCGCCGCGGUAAUAC
rnacentral:rRNA from 1 species